rnacentral:lncRNA from 1 species
CACCGGAAGUGCCCAGCCCCGCAAGACUGGGUGAUACACAGAAUUCAACGGGCGCCCGGACCAUGCGGCUGUGAUCACCGGCGCUCCGGGUCUGCCUACAGAGACAUCUUCUGGAACCGUGGGUCUGGCUGGCGGGAGUUCCCGGACUUUAGCCUACCCCAGAAAAAUCAGUAAAAACUGCAGCGCUCGGCCUGGAAGCAGCAGCCUGGCCACUGUCCUGACAGAUUGCCGAAUGCCUUGGAGCAGGGCCUGGGUUCGGCUGAUGCCCCACCCAUCCGUCCAUGAAGCUCCCGCACAGCCGGAUGGCGUGAGAUUGCAGUAUCUGCCCUAGGCCCCUGUCUACCAUCUCUGGCUCAAAAGAUCCCUGGGCCAGAAUCUACUAGACACAAUAGGCCACUUCAUCUCUGUUGCUUCAAUACCCAAACCUAAAUCCACUAAUCGUAAUUCCCCAAUUUAUAGUUUUCUUACCAGGCAUCUUAUUUCAGCUUUCGAAGUGAUACUCAGGUAGUGUGGAGGACUAACGGUCAGCUUCCUGGAAGGCCCAGCUGAACCGAGCCAGCACGGUUCUGGGUGCGGAAGACCCGCCUGAGGACUGCUGCCAACCGCAUAAAAGGAGAACCGGAGGUGAAGAUCGAAUGCUGUUGAUGCUCCUGGGAGGCUUUGCCGCGGCUGGUUUUCCUGGUGCGAACUCCGCUGUUCUCAUUGUCAGAGGAGGAGCUCGAGUCCCCCCUGUCGCCGGGGAUGGCUGCUGUUCUUGUCGGGGGAGCUCUGCUCUUCGCCUUGAGCCCCCUCAGGCUGGUGCCACAGGAUUUCUGGCUUCCACCAGUGGCCUUCGGGCCUUCCCGGUGCAGAUGCUCAAUGUGGACUUGCAUGGGACCCUGCCGUGGGCUCUGGGCCUCUGGCCGGACUCGUGGGGGACACUGCCUUGGGCAAGACAUUGUAGUCAUCAGAGCCGGGGAUUUAGCUCAGUGGUUCCAGUGCCUGCCUUGCAAGCACAAGGUCCUGAGUUUGAUCCCUGGUACCAAAAAAAAAAAAAGACAUUGUAGUCAUCAAUACAGUGUGUGAAUCCUCCCCUAUCAGCAUGUACAGAGCUGCUUCAGUCUUUCUCAAGGCCGCAUGGAAAAUUCCGUGUAAGGAUGUCAAGGAAUCAAUGCGCCUCUCUGGGAUCAGGAAGGAAGAAUUAGCCAACACCAGGGAUCUGUGCCAAGCAGCCUGUUCUGAUGGCUGCUCUGAUUCUGCUUUGAGAGAAUGUCACCCACUUUGUCUUUGGCAGUCAGGAGUCAGUACUCGACCCAUCACCUGGGAUCCAAUCAGUCUCGUUUCCUAACCAAACUCCCAACUAAUGUAAAUAAUCGGACUUAGGAACCAGAGGACUGACUCCAGAAGAUGAGAUACCCGGUCACUGAGGCGCAGCCGGAAAUCGUGGAGGAGGGAAGUGUGCUCCGGACUGGUCUCCCUCUUGUCCUCUUUCCCUUCCCGCCCUCGCCUCCUUGGCAUUCUGGCAGGCUUGGGGCCCUGA